UACGUAGGCAGCAAGCGUUGUUCGGAGUUACUGGGCGUAAAGGGUGUGUAGGCGGUUCUUUUAAGUUUGGUGUGAAAUCUCCCGGCUCAACUGGGAGGGUGCGCCGAAUACUGAGGGACUAGAGUACGGGAGAGGAAAGUGGAAUUCCUGGUGUAGCGGUGAAAUGCGUAGAUAUCAGGAGGAACACCGGUGGCGAAGGCGGCAUCCUGGACCGAGAUUGACGCUGAGGCGCGAAAGCCAGGGGAGCAAACGGG
rnacentral:rRNA from 1 species